CUAUCGAUCGCUAAUCUGCCCCGCAGUAAUAAUAAAAAAAAGAAAACAGCCUGCCCGCACGAUCUCCUCCUUCUCCGGCACGACCUCCUCCUCCUCCUCCCACAGCCGCGCCGUUCGCCUCCUGCAGCCGCGCCCUUCACAGCCUCCUCGCGCAGCCGGAGCCACGGGAAGCGGCCGCGGGUCGCCGGGAGCCUCCCCAGCCGCGGGAGCCCGCCCCCGCUGCGGGUCGCCGGGAGCCUCCCCUGCCGCCCCCUUCGCCGCCUCCCCAGCCGCAGCUUGGCCGCUGCCACACCGCCUCCGCCACGCCGCCACUCCGCGGGCCACGCCUCGAUUCCUUCAUCCUCUUCCCGAGCCGCUGGCGUCCGUCACGCGCCCCCUACUCUUCUCCUCCAACCUGGCCAGUCCCCACACCCGGAGCCCCUGCGGAUCGAGGCGUCUUCCACGCAGAGGACGACGCGGGGAACCUCCAUUGCCCUCCAUUCUGACGGCCGCCCUACAGCUGCCCCGACACGAUGGUUCUCCUCUAUUGUUCUGAUCGAGCGACGUGUUCAUUUUUUAUAUUUUUUCUGUGGCAGAUCAUGACGACGACCCUGACAGGAGAGGAGGAGGAGGACACGGAGAAGAAGGACCGAGAGUUAGACAUGGAUGUGCAUUAUGAGGCAACACGCCGCCGUGUUUGCCCCACCAUCUUCUGAUCUCUUCAGCAUUCCUGUUGUCUUGGGUUUUCUCUGUAAGUUUGGGUCCGUAGGCACACACCCUCAUAAUCUCUGUCGCUCCCUCUAAUUUCUGUGGACAUACAGACACACGCAGUGUUUAGAACGAUGUCCGCUUCAGAGUUUCAGUUCAACUCACCCAGACAGAAAUACAUUCUAUCACUGGCUAAGCAUAGUACGAACUGGGUGGACAUGGAGUCAAGGACAUGGUAAGGAAGUCAAGCAAGUGGUUGAUUUGCUCUCUUCUUCGUUUCACCAUGCUGCACCCCUUCUAGCUUAUUAGUCGCCUCUUUCAUCUCUUUUCACUGUACUAACCUGCCAAUAUUUUCCCAUCUUUGCAACGAUUGACAUGUUUAGUUUUAGUUUUACAGUAGACCAGAAUGUAUGCUGAUCUACAGUGAUUCUUAAUUGUACAUGGUCUUCUCAACUUCAAGGUCAUAACCGAUUCAGUUUUGUUUAUAAUCUAUUUUCCCUAUCACUUUUUAACUCUUGAAUUCGCCAGGCCAACCAUCCUACAGUAGUGUAGGAAUUCAGUUAGCACGUCAUAACAUGUUAUUCUCUUUCGAUAAUGCUUUUGUUGGAUUUUUUAGGAACAAGGUGGCGAAAAAAUAAGUGGUUGUGGAAGCAAUGGUUUGUUUGGGGAGGUGGAGAACGUUUUUAUGUUAUUUUUGUAGGUUCACUGAAGGGGAGCCUUGGCGCAGUGGUAAAGCUGCUGCCUUGUGACCAUGAGGUCACGGGUUCAAGUCCUGGAAACAGCCUCUUGCAGAAAUGUAGGGAAAGACUGCGUACAAUAGACCCAAAGUGGUCGGACCCUUCCCCAGACCCUGCGCAAGCGGGAGCUACAUGCACUGGGGCUGCCCCUUUUUUUUAUCCACUAAGUCAGAACUCGGAGUCGGGACAACUCAACAAGGGAACGAGGAGCCUCAAGGGAGAUACCUGCAUAACACUGGAUGCAGUGAAGAAGGAAUCAGAAAUAUUCUUAUGUUUUAGUGGCGGAAUGGCAAGGCGGCCGGUUAGAUAACCUGGGUCCGUGGCGAGUUGGUGGCUCUCGACUACAAGAAGAUCAUUGAGGCAAUCGAUAGUAGAUUUCAACAAGAAUCUAUAAAGGGCUCUAAGGGAGUAGAGGAAUCAAAAGAAAACACCUGGCAGUGCAAAGUGCACUUAGGCAGUAAGGUCAACACAAGACUACUCAUGAAACGAUACACAUACGAACUCCCGGACAUUGCAUACCGGGGAGCUUUCUUCUAUUUAGGAUUUAAGGCUGAUAAUAUGCUCACGAAAAGACAGGAAUGCAGCACCACUCCAAUCUUUAGAAGGUCCCCACCCUGUUCUGUGAUGAAUGUGGAUAAAGACGAAGCAGAGAACAUAAUAUCUUGGUGAAGGCAUCUCAACCGAGAUGAGACAUUGUUUAUUUAUUUAUGUCAUAUCCUACUCAUAGUCUGUUGUUCUGUGAGCAAUUGUUUGUUUUUUAACAGCUUACCAUUGAUAAUGAAUCGUGUAUGGUGGCUUUGUUAAUAUUCAAGUAGUAUUACAUAUUAGUAAUAUUGAAUGCAUGUUUUUUUUGUGGUUUA